GAUGAACGCUGGCGGCGUGCCUAAUACAUGCAAGUCGAGCGAACAGACCAGGAGCUUGCUCCUCUGACGUUAUCGGCGGACGGGUGAGUAACACGUGGAUAACCUACCUAUAAGACUGGGAUAACUUCGGGAAACCGGAUCUAAUACCGGAUAAUAUAUUGAACCGCAUGGUUCAAUAGUGAAAGACGGUUUUGCUGUCACUUAUAGAUGGAUCCGCGCCGCAUUAGCUAGUUGGUAAGGUAACGGCUUACCAAGGCAACGAUGCGUAGCCGACCUGAGAGGGUGAUCGGCCACACUGGAAGUGAGACACGGUCCAGACUCCUACGGGAGGAAGCAGUCGGGAAUCUUACGCAAUGGGCGAAAGCCUGACGGAGCAACGCCGCGUGAGUGAUGAAGGUCUUCGGAUCGUAAAACUCUGUUAUUCGGGAAGAACAAAUGUGUAAGUAACUAUGCACGUAUUGACGGUACCUAAUCAGAAAGCCACGGCUAACUACGUG
rnacentral:rRNA from 1 species